CGCGGGGUGGAGCAGUUGGUAGCUCGCGAGGCUCAUAACCUUGAGGUCAGGGGUUCAAGUCCCCUCCCCGCCA
rnacentral:tRNA from 1 species